UACGAAGGGGGCUAGCGUUGCUCGGAAUGACUGGGCGUAAAGGGCGCGUAGGCGGCUUGCACCGUCAGAUGUGAAAUUCCUGGGCUUAACCUGGGGGCUGCAUUUGAUACGUGUGGGCUUGAGUGCGGAAGAGGGUCGUGGAAUUCCCAGUGUAGAGGUGAAAUUCGUAGAGAUCCGGAGGAACACCAGUGGCGAAGGCGACACGCUGGGCCGUACCUGACACUGAUGCGCGACAGCAUGGGGAGCAAACAGG
rnacentral:rRNA from 1 species